UUUCUCUACAGCACGAGAUAUUCUGGUGUAAACUAGAGUACAAGAACAGGAGAUAAUUGUUGGUUUAUAUUCUAUAAUAGCAUAGAUAAACAAAAACAUAAUUGUUUGCUGUGUGGUCUAGUUCACACUAAUAGUGCUGAGAUUGGCAAACGUGGGGGCCACUAGGGGGCGCAUUGGAAGAUGGCUGACAAUAACAUCUCUCCGACCCACACGAGGUAAUUUGGAGGCUAUGAUGGGGGUAAUUAGCCUCCUUAACCCCCCCCAGGAUUGUGGGGGGGACGGCCCUUGCCUGCUGUGCCCUAUACCACCCCCGAAUUUGUGGGGGUGGGGGCACUAGGCACAAAGCCCUCCUGUGGGAUUUCAUCACUCCUGGACGCCAUCCCUGAUCCGCGCCACUAGAUGCAGAACUUCAAAGGAAACAAUUUGGAUGAAAGGAAUGCACAUAUUUCAAGAAAGAAGGGGGAGUAAAGACUGCUAACAGAAGAGAUCUCUGACAAAACAAGAUAAGAAUAAAACAUGAGAAGAUACGCCAAGACAAGGUACGGCAAAUGACUGAUGGGGGAGGGGG